rnacentral:tmRNA from 1 species
AUCUUUGCAAAAGGUCUCGCCAGAGCCUAUAUUUAAGGGGUCGGGUAACCGACUAUGACGAUAAACGUUUUGCGGAAUAAGCGUAACGGACCCGGGGGCAGUACCCGGCGCCUCCACCAGUUAGCCCCGGCCGGGCUUUUUAAGAUUUUCUUUUCAAAAGCCCGGCCAGGCAUUUAAGGGGGCGAUAUAGGAUCGACGGGCGUAGUAAAGGCAUAAUUUUCGUUCGGCAUGAUACCCACCGUAUCGGGGUCAAUUUUACAAAUGCAAACGAUAAUGAUGCAUUUGCGGUUGCAGCCUAACGGCUAAUGUAACCACGGGGUUCGGGGGGCACCUGGCAACAGAAGCCCCCCACU